AAUCGAGGCCCCGUAAUUGGAAUGAGUACACUUUAAAUCCUUUAACGAGGAUCAAUUGGAGGGCAAGUCUGGUGCCAGCAGCCGCGGUAAUUCCAGCUCCAAUAGCGUAUAUUAAAGUUGUUGCAGUUAAAAAGCUCGUAGUUGGAUCUCAGGAUUUGGAUGGAUGGUUCGCUUUCGGGCGCUACUAUCUGUCUGACCUACUCUAGUCGUGGAUGCCUUGGGUGCUCUUAAUUGAGUGCUUUUGGUGCCCGACGCAAUUACUUUGAAAAAAUUAGAGUGCUCAAAGCAGGCGUAUUGCCUGAAUAGUGUUGCAUGGAAUAAUGAAAUAGGAGUUUACUUCUAUUUUGUUGGUUUUCGGAGGUGAACUAAUGAUUAACAGGGACAGACGGGGGCAUUUGUAUGGAGGGGUUAGAGGUGAAAUUCUUGGAUCCUCUCCAGACAAACUACUGCGAAAGCAUUUGCCAGGAAUGUUUUCACUAAUCAAGAACGAAAGUCAGAGGUUCGAAGACGAUCAGAUACCGUCCUAGUUCUGACCAUAAAUGAUGCCAUCUAACAAUCCACGAAGUUUGCUUGUACGAACUCGUGGGCGGUCCCCGGGAAACCAAAGAUUUUGGGUUCCGGGGGAAGUAUGGUUGCAAAGCUGAAACUUAAAGGAAUUGACGGAAGGGCACCACCAGGAGUGGAGCCUGCGGCUUAACUUGACCCAACACGGGAAACCUCACCCGGCCCGGACACUUUUAGGAUUGACAGAUUGAAGGCUCUUUCUUGAUCAAGUGGUUGGUGGUGCAUGGCCGUUCUUAGUUGGUGGAGCGAUUUGUCUGGUUAAUUCCGAUAACGAACGAGACUCUACUCUGCUAAAUAGAACGUUGAUAUAUAAAAGUCAGUGCUGACUUCUUAGAGAGACUAACGGCGUUUAGCCGUGUGAGAAAGAGCAAUAACAGGUCUGUGAUGCCCUUAGAUGUCCGGGGCCGCACGCGCGCUACACUGACUGCAGCAACUAGUAUGCUCCUGGUUUGAAAAAACUGGGUAACCUGGUUGAAUUGCAGGCGUGACAGGGAUCAGAGUUUGCAAUUAUCCUCUGUGAACGAGGAAUUCCCAGUAAGCGCAAGUCAUUAGCUUGUGCUGAUUACGUCCCUGCCCUUUGUACACACCGCCCGUCGCUACUACCGAUUGAAUGGUUUAGUGAGGUCUUCGGAUUGGUGCUGAUGGAGUGGUUCUCUGCUCUGUUAGUGCCGAGAAGAUGAUCAAACUUGAUCAUUUAGAGGAAGUAAAAGUCGUAACAAGGU
rnacentral:rRNA from 1 species